rnacentral:lncRNA from 1 species
UUUUUUUUUCUUUCUUUUUUUAUUGCUAUAUACUUAUUUCCCACCUAUUUUUUCUCAGACCAGGGAUGCUGAAUGUCAGAUGUCUUGUGAUUCUUUCCCAGUGAAAGAAUCAACAACGAUUAAGUUCAGUGCACCGUCCCAGAGAAAAAAUCAGCGCAAGCACAAGUAUGAUGCUUUAUCUCACGAGGAGGUAUCAGUAAGCUCAAAACAUAGCAAACAAGAUAUUUCCUCAGACUUCUCCAAUGCUCUUGAUCUCUCCUCGUCCAGUUCUGCCAUUCUUGAUACGGAUGAAGGUCUCUCAGGUAAAUAUUUCAAUUGAAUCUCAUUGCUCUCAGUAUUUUACGACACCAUUCAUGUGAGUACUAAGCACUGCAUCAAGGAUUUGUGGUUCAGAGGAAUCGUGACGGAAUGGCAAACCAAACGUCAGUCUGUGGAGGAAAAAUCGCUAAUGUCUUAGAGAAUAAGUUACUAGUGGUUUAAUAAAUGUUUGUGUUAAUAGAAGAUAAAAAGUUAGAUUAUAAAUCCAGCAAUUCCAUGCCCAGGACAUGAAAGACUAUCAUUUUAAAUACUUCUCUCUUGAAACUAUUUUUCUUAACUGCUAACCUCAAACCGUCAUAACUCCAGUUAGAUCAGAUCUUUUUGGGUGUUUUCUUGUCGGAAAAUCUUGCAAAUCAAUUUGGUGUUUCUAAAUUUGGCAAUGGCUGUCUCUGAUCUUCCAAUUGGAAUUUUUACAUUGUGUUGGUGACUCUGCUGCAUCAAUUUCAUCUUUUUUUAAUCAAGUUUUUUUUCAGACCAUAGGCUUGGUGAACCCAUGGACACGGACCAAGUUGAAAGUGUUUCAUUCGGUGAUGCAAGUUAUUCAAAAAUUCCGAAAGAAAAUCAUCUAACACUAUCUGUAAUGAAAAUAGCACAAAAAGGAAGAAAAGUAAAAUGGAAGUAGAUAAAAAUGGACAAGAACUUCAACUAAAUGCAGCUGAUUGUAUUCCCUCAUCUGCUGGAAACGAUAAUGAAAAACUAGCUUCAAAGACCGAAUCCAAAGAUCUUCCCAACUUAGGAAAUGGCAAUGAAGAACUUUUGCGUGCGGAACUUGCAGAGAAAUUGUGUGAACUUGAGAGGUGUCGGCAGAUGCUCAAGAUUCAGUGUAAUCUCAAUUCAAUUUACAAAGACGAGGUUGAAAAGCUCUCAUCACAGCUGAUCAAAGAGAGAGAAGAGACUCACAUUGAUGGCUCCGUCAGCGCAGUGGAAGUUAUGCUUAAAGAGCAUUUGGCCAAAAUAGAACAAUUUCAAGUUACCAAAACGCUUCGGUCUCAUGAACAGCAAACUGACUCCCAAGAUUUUCCCGACAAAUCACGAGCAGCGGAGAAUAAAAAGGAAGUAACGGUUGUUGUAGGAGUCAAAGAUGGCAAUACUAGUUUAACAGAAGAAGAUGAAGUCGUCCAAAAAAGUAAUGAUGCCAAAAUUAUGGAAAAUCCUACAUUUAAUGCCACUGCAACAUCAGUGGGAAUCUCAAAGCAAUUGGAGUCAACAAAUCAUGUUGUCUCUGAUAGUAAAAGUGAAGAAAAUCCGUCCCUCAUUGCGCAAAAUGACGUCUGUCAGUUUGAGCUCUACGUCCAUGAGUUGGUUCUAUCCAGUCACACUUUGACUCCAAAAACGCAGCUAUUUUUGACGUGGGGUUUUUUAGAUCAAGAAGAAUAUGCUUAUUCGCCAGUGAAGCCUGUCAGUGAUCUUAAUUUUUCAUGUUCCUGUAUUUACAAAGGGCAUUGCAGCGAGGAAUUUCUGAAGUAUCUACUAUCCCAUGGUGUUGUCAUUGAAGUGUACCAAGUUCUAGAAGAAGGAUGUUUCAAGAUUGCCGAAGCUAUGGUCGACACUAGUGCUGCUGUUAAAUUUCCAUCAAAGACUCAUUCCUCCAAAAUCCCGCUUGUCAGUCAAAUAAUUGUCGGUGCACUACAUAGUUCUAUUAAACUUGUGUGCUCUUGUGAAUUGCGGCAGCAAUUCUUAUUGCAGAGUCAAACAAAGGAUGAAUUGAAAGGACCCGUUGUGGGAGCUGGACAGUGA